AUUAAGCUGAAAAUAGCGGUAAACUUGAUAUGACAGCAAUGAAGGUGUUUCAUUCCAUGUGAGCCUUCAUGUAAUGUCCAGGAUUGUAUAUUAUGAAGGCAUGGCUUAUUUUUCUAAGGUUACCCAUAUUCUCUUUGAAUAGGUAACUGAAUAUGCUUUAAAGA